UUAAACGAAGCAGAGCGUACGGUGGAUGUCUUGGCAUAUAGAGCAGAAGAAGGACGCAGAAAACGGCGAAACGCCUCGGGGAGUCGUACACAGACAACGAUCCGGGGGUAUCCGAAUGGGGAAACCCAGUCAUGCGGAAAUGCGUGGCUAUCCACAACUGAAUACAUAGGUUGCGAGAAGAAAACCCAGGGAAUUGAAACAUCUCAGUACCUGGAGGAGAAGAAAACAAAAGUGAUUCCGAAAGUAGUGGCGAGCGAAAUCGGAAGAGCCCAAACCAGUCUUGAACUGGGGUAGUAGGACCAGAAAAAGCAACAUCUGAGAGAUAGUCGAAUGAGAUUGAAAGCUCAGUCAGAGAAGGUGCAAACCCUGUAGACGAAAUUUCGAAGAGUGCGACUGGAAUCCUGAGUACGUCGGGGCACGUGGAACCCUGACGGAAGCAACCGGGACCAUCCGGUAAGGCUAAAUACUCCUAUAUGACCGAUAGUGAACCAGUACCAUGAGGGAAAGAUGAAAAGAACCGCGGGAGCGGAGUGAAAUAGAACCUGAAACCGUAUGCUUACAAAAAGUCAGAGCACAUUAAAGUGUGAUGGCGUGCCUUUUGUAGAAUGAACCGGCGAGUUAUCUUAUCGUGCGAGGUUAAGUAGACAAUACGGAGCCGAAGCGAAAGCGAAUCUUAAGAGGGUGGCAAGUACGAUGAGAUAGACCCGAAGCCGUAGUGAUCUAGUCAUGAGCAGGUUGAAGGCUGGGUGAAUCCAGCUGGAGGACCGAACCGACCCCCGUUGAAACGUUGGCGGAUGACUUGUGACUAGCGGAGAAAUUCCAAUCGAACACGGCGAUAGCUGGUUCUCCCCGAAAUAGCUUUAGGGCUAGCGUUGAACGAAUCUACCCGGAGGUAGAGCACUGAAAAUAUGCGGGCGGCACCUAGCCGUACCAAAUGUUAUCAAACUCCGAAUGCCGGGCAAGAAUAUUCAGCAGUCAGACUGUGGGUGAUAAGGUCCAUGGUCAAAAGGGAAACAGCCCAGAUCAUCAGAUAAGGUCCCAGAAUCUACGCCAAGUGGAAAAGGAUGUGGAGACGCGCAAACAGCUAGGAGGUUAGCUCAGAAGCAGCUAUCCUUGAAAGAGUGCGUAACAGCUCACUAGUCGAGUAUCUCUGCGCCGAAAAUUAACCGGGGCUAAGCGUAGUACCGAAUCUAUGGAUUUGUGCAGAAAUGUAUAAGUGGUAGGGGAGCGUUCCAAACAGCAUAGAAGGCAUACCGAAAGGAGUGCUGGAGCGUUUGGAAGUGAGAAUGCCGGUGUGAGUAGCGAGAUGCAGGUGAGAAUCCUGCACACCGAUAGACCAAGGUUUCCAGGGGAAGGUUCGUCCGCCCUGGGUAAGUCGGGACCUAAGACGAGGCAGAAAUGCGUAGCCGAUGGACAACUGGUUUAUAUUCCAGUACCCGCGAUACAACUGAAGGAGUGACGGAAAAGGUUACCUCGAGCCCUUAAUGGAUUGGGCAGGACAGAGAGGAGCAGGCAGCAGGCAAAUCCGCUGCAGGAUGCAGAGCUCUGGACCGAAUGAACGAGCGAUCAAGUAGUGAAGAGAGAGAUACCAGUUCCCGAGAAAAGCUUCUAAGGCUAAUUGUAUAGCGGCCCGUACCAAAACCGACACAGGUGGUCAAGGCGAGUAGCCUGAGGUGAGCGAGAGAACUGUUGCCAAGGAACUCGGCAAACUGACCCCGUACGUUAGCAAUAAGGGGUGCUCGAAAGAGCCGCAGUGAAUAGGCCCUAGCAACUGUUUAACUAAAACAUAGCUCUCUGCCAAGCCGCAAGGCGAAGUAUAGGGGGUGACACCUGCCCGGUGCUGGAAGGUCAAGGGGAUUUGUCAGCGCAAGCGAAGCAUUGAACCGAAGCCCCAGUGAACGGCGGCCGUAACUAUAACGGUCCUAAGGUAGCGAAAUUCCUUGUCAGGUAAGUUCUGACCCGCACGAAAGGUGUAAUGAUUUGGGCACUGUCUCGGCAGCAGACUCGGUGAAAUCUUAGUACCUGUGAAGAUGCAGGUUACCCGCAACUAGACGGAAAGACCCCAUGGAGCUUUACUGCAGUCUGCUAUUGAGUUUCGGUUGGAUAUGCACAGGAUAGGUGGGAGACGAUGAGACGUGGAUUUCGGUCUACGAGGAGUCACUGUUGGGAUACCACUCUUAUUCAACUGGAAUUCUAACUGAUAUCCGUGAUCCGGAUACAGGACCGUGGCAGAUGGGCAGUUUGACUGGGGCGG
rnacentral:rRNA from 1 species